rnacentral:rRNA from 1 species
UACGUAGGGGGCUAGCGUUGUCCGGAAUCAUUGGGCGUAAAGAGCGUGUAGGCGGCCCGGUAAGUCCGCUGUAAAAGUCAAAGGCUCAACCUUUGAAUGUCAGUGGAUACUGCCGGGCUAGAGUCCGGAAGAGGCGAGUGGAACUCCUGGUAUAGCGGUGGAAUGCGCAGAUAUCAGGAAGAACACCACGGCGAAGGCAGCUCGCUGGGACGGUACUGACGCUGAGACGCGAAAGCGUGGGGAGCGAACAGG